rnacentral:rRNA from 2 species
CUAAGAAUAUUCCGCAAUGGACGAAAGUCUGACGGAGCGACGCCGCGUGGAUGAUGAAGGCCGAAAGGUUGUAAAGUCCUUUUGCUGGGGAAGAAUAAGCAUGGGAGGUAAUGCCCGUGCGAUGACAUGAACCGGCGAAUAAGCCCCGGCUAACUACGUGCCAGCAGCCGCGGUAACACGUAGGGGGCGAGCGUUGUUCGGAAUUACUGGGCGUAAAGGGCAUGUAGGCGGCUUGGUAAGCCUGGCGUGAAAGUCACCGGCUCAACCGGUGGAUUGCGUUGGGUACUGCUGAGCUUGAAUCACGGAGAGGGAGCUAGAAUUCCAGGUGUAGGGGUGAAAUCUGUAGAGAUCUGGAAGAAUACCAGUGGCGAAGGCGAGCUCCUGGCCGAUGAUUGACGCUGAGGUGCGAAAGUGUGGGGAUCAAACAGG